ACGGCUCAGUAACACGUGGAUAACCUGCCCUCAGGUCUGGCAUAACCCCGGGAAACUGGGGAUAAUUCCGGAUAACGCAUAUAUGCUGGAAUGCUUUAUGCGUCAAAGGUCCUCCGCCUGAGGAUGGGUCUGCGGCCUAUCAGGUAGUAGCGGGUGUAAUGUACCUGCUAGCCGACGACGGGUACGGGUUGUGAGAGCAAGAGCCCGGAGAUGGAUUCUGAGACAUGAAUCCAGGCCCUACGGGGCGCAGCAGGCGCGAAAACUUUACAAUGCGGGAAACCGUGAUAAGGGGACACCGAGUGCCAGCAACAUUUGCUGGCUGUCCAGGUGUGUAAACUACACCUGUUAGCAAGGGCCGGGCAAGACCGGUGCCAGCCGCCGCGGUAACACCGGCGGCCCGAGUGGUGAUCGUUAUUAUUGGGUCUAAAGGGUCCGUAGCCGGUUUAGUCAGUCCUCCGGGAAAUCUGUCAGCUCAACUGAUAGGCUAUCGGGGGAUACUGCUAGACUUGGAACCGGGAGAGGUAAGAGGUACUACAGGGGUAGGAGUGAAAUCUUGUAAUCCCUGUGGGACCACCUGUGGCGAAGGCGUCUUACCAGAACGGGUUCGACGGUGAGGGACGAAAGCUGGGGGCACGAACCGGAUUAGAUACCCGGGUAGUCCCAGCCGUAAACGAUGCUCGCUAGGUGUCAUGCAUGGUGCGACCGUGAAUGGUGCCGUAGGGAAGCCGUGAAGCGAGCCACCUGGGAAGUACGGCCGCAAGGCUGAAGCUUAAAGGAAUUGGCGGGGGAGCAC
rnacentral:rRNA from 1 species